rnacentral:rRNA from 1 species
GGAAUCGCUAGUAAUCGCGAGUCAGCAUNCGCGGUGAAUACGUUCCCGGGCCUUGUACACACCGCCCGUCACACCAUGGGAGCCGGAAAUGCCCGAAGCCAGUGACCCAACCUUAGGGAGGGAGCUGUCGAAGGUGGAGCCGGUAACUGGGGUGAAGUCGUAACAAGGUACC